CGAGUGGUUGACCAGGUUUGUCACCUUUGACCUUUGACCGGCCACGUAGAUAAACGUUUUGUUUUCGUUUUUCCUGUUCAGUUCAAAAACAGGCGUGAUUUUUACGGGAUAUAGAAGCCGUGUGGACCACUAACCACCACAGACCUACAGGUGACACACAUAACAUGGUGGCGAUGCUUCUGACGCGACGCGGAGAAGCUGGGAAUGUUUAGAGGGUUCGGAGGGACGCCAACCAGCCUUUCAUCCGUAAUUGCACUAAGAAGAAGAAGAAGAAGAAGAAG